rnacentral:piRNA from 1 species
UUCUGGCAGAGCACACAGCUCGGUGGUU